rnacentral:rRNA from 1 species
GAUGAACGCUGGCGGCGUGCCUAAUACAUGCAAGUCGAGCGAACGGACGAGAAGCUUGCUUCUCUGAUGUUAGCGGCGGACGGGUGAGUAACACGUGGAUAACCUACCUAUAAGACUGGGAUAACUUCGGGAAACCGGAGCUAAUACCGGAUAAUAUUUUGAACCGCAUGGUUCAAAAGUGAAAGACGGUCUUGCUGUCACUUAUAGAUGGAUCCGCGCUGCAUUAGCUAGUUGGUAAGGUAACGGCUUACCAAGGCAACGAUGCAUAGCCGACCUGAGAGGGUGAUCGCCCACACUGGAACUGAGACACGGUCCAGACUCCUACGGGAGGCAGCAGUAGGGAAUCUUCCGCAAUGGUCGAAAGCCUGACGGAGCAACGCCGCGUGAGUGAUGAAGGUCUUCGGAUCGUAAAACUCUGUUAUUAGGGAAGAACAUAUGUGUAAGUAACUGUGCACAUCUUGACGGUACCUAAUCAGAAAGCCACGGCUAACUACGUG